rfam:Otolemur garnettii contig023526, whole genome shotgun sequence.
GUGAUCCCUUCAACAGCACACAUACGAAACUCGGAACCAUACAGAGAUUAGCAUGGCCCCUGUGCGAGGAUGACACACAAAUUCACAAAGUGUUCCAUAUUUUU